AGCCCCCCACAACUCCCUCCUACCUCUGCUAUUCUCUGCCAUGUAAGAGGAUAUAGUGUUUUGCACAGCCUGGAAGACUGUCGGGCCAGAGAACUUCAGGCAUUAAUUUUGCCAGCUCAGUAAUUGGCAACUGAUUUGUUGGAAUUGUCUGCCACAAAGCAGCGCAAACAAAAGAACAACCAGAAAAUUAUCUUUUGGCAUUAGCUCCAGCUCUGAGCUAAGCUUUGGCACAGUACCUACAAGUUUUUAAACACAAAUUGCUUAUUUUGUUCUUCAUUAGCUCCUGCCCUCUUGGUCUUCUACAUCUAUGUGGUGAAGGCUACCAACUCAGUGGGGCAAACAAGCUGUGCUGCUACUUAUCUUUAAAGGCAAGGUGAAGCCAUAACAAAGAAUUUAAUAUAUCACCACAGCAUAAACUAACAUUUUGUGCAACAACUGCUCUUGACUUCAAACCCUACACAGAAGACUCGGUCAAUAGUACAAUACAAUUAAAUAAGCACAGUCCUCUCCUAACUCACAACUUUUCCCCCUUUUGCUAUCAGGAAACUUCAGACAGAACCUCUGCGCUCCCAGUGACACUGCAGCAGUUGCAAAGCCAAAGAAGUUGGUCAGACUCCAGAGAUCUUCCACCUUGGCAUUCCUUUGUCUCGGGCACAGAGCGUUUUCAUUCUCGGCCGCGCACUCGAUGAGGCUGAGCCCCCUCUCGCGGGGCUGGAAGCGGCCCUCCAGCUCCAGGUGGAGGUUCAGCUGCCGGAACAGCCGCAGCGCCUCGCUGCCCAUCUCCGGGCCGGCCGGCCGGGCGGCGGCGGCGGCCCCCGGCGGCGCGGACAAAGGGAACCGGGCGCCCGCCCCUCGCCGGGGGGCGAUCCCGCAGCGCCGGGGACGCGAACCGCGGGCCCCGGGGGCUCCUCGGCGGCAGGGAGAGGGAGCCCGGUUCCCGUCACCGCACGGACGCGGGUGGGCUCCCCCGCGGGCACCGCAUCCAGGCAGGGCGGCCCGCGCCCCCGCCGGCGGCCGGCCCCGCUCGCCGCCCCGCAGCGAGUCACGGCGCUGCCCGCGGCACCGUCACCAUCCCCGGCCCCGCGGAGCUGCCGCUGCCGCCGCCGCCGCCCCGGCCCCGCAUCAAAAUGGAGGCGGCGCGGCCCCG
rnacentral:lncRNA from 1 species